rnacentral:tRNA from 1 species
GAAGGUAUAGCUCAGUGGUAGAGUGCGUGCUUAACGUGCAGGAGGUCCUGCGUUCAAUCCCCAGUACCUCUA